rnacentral:lncRNA from 1 species
UGGAAAACUAAUAUCACUUACUUUUAAAGUAAGAACACUUCUCUUCUUCCUUUAAAAGCAGAUAUGAAGCAUAAGAGAGACUUUGCAGACUUUAACAUAACACACAUAAUUUUUAAAUAUUGAUUUGGUAACCAAGCAGUUCCAGAUGCUGUAAAACUGGGAAGCCAUUGUAAGUUUUGGAAGAUAUUUUAAGUUGAUAAUUUGGAGAGAGAACUUCUCAAUAGUUCGAAAGAUAGACACUUUGGUCAAGGAUACUUAUUUGCGUCAGGGGGGUCAAGAGAUCUCUUAAAAUAAACCAAGAGGAAGAAAUGUUUGCAAUAGGGCUUGGAGAGGAAGAGCAGAAGUAAGGGAUACAUAGGGUGACAGAAUGAACAGACCUGGAGAUGUGUAAGAUUCAAGAUGCAAACAAGAAGAAACACGAUGAUGGAGAUUUCCAGUGAGGUGACCGGAAGAGUCAUGUUUGGAGGAGAAGAUGAAACAUUUGUUUUAGAAAUUGUUUACCUUGAGACACUUGUGGAACUAUCUGAUUGGAAAAGAGUAAUAGAUAUUGGAAUAUGUGUGUCUUAAUUGUGGAAGAUGCUGAGGAAAGAAAUUAAUAUUUGGACCAUUAUAUGCUAGGUGCUUUAACUUCAUUGGAUGAUUUGAUGGUUUGAUUGCGUUGCCAUCAAUCAACACACACACACACACACACACACACGCAUGCACACACACAGACUGGGUGGCUUAAACAAUAGAAAUUUGUUUUCUUACAAUUCUGGAGGCCAGAAACCCAACCAGCAGGGUUGGUUUCUGAUGAGGUCUUGUUUCCUGAUUUGCAGGAGGCCACCCUCUAACUUUGCC